CUACGGGAGGCACCAGUGGGGAAUAUUGGACAAUGGGGGAAACCCUGAUCCAGCAAUGCCGCGUGUGUGAAGAAGGCCUGCGGGUUGUAAAGCACUUUCGGUUGGGAGGACUGCUUCUAGCACUAAUAUUGUUGGAAGUUGACGUUACCUUCAGAAGAAGCACCGGCUAACUCCGUGCCAGCAGCCGCGGUAAUACGGAGAGGUGCAAGCGUGAAUCGGAAUUACUGGGCGUAAAGCGCGCGUAGGCGGCUAGAUCAGUCGGGUGUGAAAGCCCCGGGCUUAACCUGGGAACUGCAUCCGAUACUGUCUAGCUUGAGUACAGGAGAGGAGAGUGGAAUUCCACAUGUAGCGUUGAAAUGCGUAGAUAUGUGGAGGAACACCAAUGGCGAAGGCAGCUCUCUGGCCUGAUACUGACGCUGAGGUGCGAAAGCGUGGGGAGCAAACAGGAUUAGAUACCCUAGUAGUC
rnacentral:rRNA from 1 species